rnacentral:tRNA from 1 species
GCCUGGGUGGCUCAGUCGGUUGAGUGUCUGACUUCAGCUCAGGUCAGGAUCUCAAAGUUCAUGGGUUCGACCCCCGUGUUGGGCU